GUAGGUGAACCUGCGGAAGGAUCAUUAAUGAAACUUCAAAGUCGGCCAAAGGUUGUUGCUGGUGAUUAUUCACAUGUGCACGCCUUUGGUCGCAAAUCCACACACACCUGUGCAUCUAUGACUCGAGGUUGUAAUGACUGAGAGUAACUUUUAUACACUCUUGUAUGUAAUGGAAUGUCUUUUUGUGCUAUAAUGUACAAUAUAAACAACUUUCAACAACGGAUCUCUUGGCUCUCGCAUCGAUGAAGAACGCAGCGAAAUGCGAUAAGUAAUGUGAAUUGCAGAAUUCAGUGAAUCAUCGAAUCUUUGAACGCACCUUGCACCCUUUGGUAUUCCGAAGGGUAYGCCCGUUUGAGUGUCAUUGUAAUCUCACUUCUACAACUUUAUUGUUGUUUGAAUGUGGACUUGGAUGUUGCCGUUUUAUCACGGCUCGUCUUAAAUGCCUGAGUGUACCCUGUUUUGCAGCGUAUCCAGUGUAAUAAACAUUUCACUAGAGUUGGUCGAAAGACCGCGUUGACUAUAUGGGCUCUAUGCUUCAAACCGUCUGCCAUGUGGACAAUUUCUUGACAAUUUGACCUCAAAUCGGGUGGGACUACCCGCUGAACUUAAGCAUAUCAAUAAGCGGAGGAAAAGAAACUAACAAGGAUUCCCCUAGUAACGGCGAGUGAAGAGGGAAAAGCUCAAAUUUUAAAUCUGGUGUCUUUGACUCCCGAGUUGUAAUCUAGAGAAGUGUUUUCCGUGUCGGACCGUGUACAAGUUCCCUGGAACGGGGCGUCAUAGAGGGUGAGAAUCCCGUAUAUGCCACGGACUACCGAUGCUCUGUGAUACACUCUCAACGAGUCGAGUUGUUUGGGAAUGCAGCUCAAAAUGGGUGGUAAAUUCCAUCUAAAGCUAAAUAUUGGCGAGAGACCGAUAGCGAACAAGUACCGUGAGGGAAAGAUGAAAAGCACUUUGGAAAGAGAGUGAAACAGUACGUGAAAUUGUUGAAAGGGAAGCGUUUGAAGUCAGUCGCAUCUGUUGGGGUUCAGCCUGGCUUUUGCCUGGUGUAUUUCCUUUCCGAUGGGUCAGCAUCAGUUUCGACCGAGGGAAAAAGACAUUUGGAAUGUGGCUGUCUUCGGGCAGUGUUAUAGCCUUGUGUUGUAUGUCUCGGUUGGGACUGAGGAUUGCAGCGCGCC
rnacentral:rRNA from 1 species